UCUCUUGCCGCAUGCUGCCAUGUCCCCUAUCUUGGUGGGGCCGGGCAACCGGCUAUGUCGGUAGAGUAUUUGGUGGAAUAGGCAUUUCGGACCCGGGGGGCAGUACCCCGGCGCCUCCACCACCAGCGGCGAGGAAGCGCUUUUAUCGAGCGCCGCUGCUGAUGGGGGCGAAACAGGAUCGACGAGUGCAAUAAAGGCCAGGUUGCCGAUCGGUAGGAGACCACCGUGACGGCUCAAUCACACAAGUGCCAACGAUAAUGAGGCUCUUGCGAUUGCCGCGUAACUGACGGCCUAACGGUCUGACGUUACAAGGACAAAAGCGCGGUCGGACCCCGCCGGGCAACAGAAGGGGAUUCCA
rnacentral:tmRNA from 1 species